rnacentral:rRNA from 1 species
GAUUAACGCUGGCGGCGUGCAUAACACAUGCAAGUCGAACGAUGAAACUUAAAUGAUUUCUUCGGAAUGAACUUAAGUGGAUUAGUGGCGGACGGGUGAGUAACGCGUGAGUAACCUGCCUUACACAAGGGGAUAGCCGUUGGAAACGACGAAUAAUACCCUAUGAAACUAUCACUUCGCAUGAAGCGAUAGUCAAAGUGUUAGCGGUGUAAGAUGGACUUGCGUCUGAUUAGCUAGUUGGUGAGAAAAAAGCCCACCAAGGCAACGAUCAGUAGCCGGCUUGAGAGAGUGUACGGCCACAUUGGGACUGAGACACGGCCCAGACUCCUACGGGAGGCAGCAGUGGAGAAUUUUGCACAAUGGGGGAAACCCUGAUGCAGCGACGCCGCGUGAUUUAGAAGGCCUUCGGGUUGUAAAAAUCUUUUGUAUAGGAAGAAAAUGACAGUACUAUACGAAUAAGGUCCGGCUAAUUACGUG